UACGUAGGGGGCUAGCGUUGUCCGGAAUCAUUGGGCGUAAAGCGCGUGUAGGCGGUCCGGUAAGUCCGCUGUGAAAGUCGAGGGCUCAACCCUCGAAUGCCGGUGGAUACUGUCGGGCUUGAGUACGGGAGAGGCGAGUGGAAUUCCUGGUGUAGCGGUGAAAUGCGCAGAUAUCGGGAGGAACACCUAUGGCGAAGGCAGCUCGCUGGGACGUUACUGACGCUGAGACGCGAAAGCGUGGGGAGCAAACAGG
rnacentral:rRNA from 1 species